rnacentral:rRNA from 1 species
UACGUAGGGUCCAAGCGUUAAUCGGAAUUACUGGGCGUAAAGCGUGCGCAGGCGGUUUUUUAAGCCAGCUGUGAAAUCCCCGGGCUUAACCUGGGAAUGGCAUUUGGGACUGUAAGGCUAGAGUACGGCAGAGGAGACUAGAAUUCCUGGUGUAGCAGUGAAAUGCGUAGAUAUCAGGAGGAAUACCGAUGGCGAAGGCAGGUCUCUGGGCUAUAACUGACGCUCAUGCACGAAAGCGUGGGGAGCAAACAGG